GAUGAAGAACGCAGCGAAAUGCGAUAAGUAAUGUGAAUUGCAGAAUUCAGUGAAUCAUCGAGUCUUUGAACGCACAUUGCGCCCCCUGGCAUUCCGGGGGGCAUGCCUGUCCGAGCGUCAUUGCUGCCCUUCAAGCCCGGCUUGUGUGUUGGGUCGUCGUCCCCCCCGGGGGACGGGCCCGAAAGGCAGCGGCGGCACCGCGUCCGGUCCUCGAGCGUAUGGGCUUUGUCACCCGCUCGAUUAGGGCCGGCCGGGCGCCAGCCGGCGUCUCCAACCUUCUAUUUUACCAGGUUGACCUCGGAUCAGGUAGGGAUACCCGCUGAACUUAAGCAUAUCAAUAAGCGGAGGA
rnacentral:misc_RNA from 1 species